UACUCACCCCAUUCGUAUCUUAAGACAACACCUUUUUUUCUUCUUUUCACACUCUAUUUAUUUUCAUCUUCUUCCCAGUAAAACUCUUUACAUUCCAAAACAAAUACAUAAGCCUCUGAUACAUUGUGUUUAAUCAUUUCUCACACAUUACAAUUUUCUCUCUCUUUCGUCUUCUUUCUUUUCUCAUUUUCCCCCUCAAACCUUAAAACCUCUGUAGUCGCCGCCAUCACCCUUUCUCCCCUAUUAAAAAGGAGAUUUUGAUUCACCAUAACACAAACAACACUUUUGUCUCAGAUAUUAUGCUUCAUCCCCCUAUCAUCACUCAAACAUGCCUCUCUCUUUCUCACAACAUUAGAAGUCGUGAAAACACUCACUUCAUCUUUCAGAUUUGACUUCUUCAAAAAAAUCUGCUUCCAAAUUUGUUGAUUCAACUGCAAGAAUAAAUGCCAAGAAUCCAAGUGUCAUAAUUUCUCCAUCUCUCUAAUCUUUCAUAUUUUAUUAAAAAUUUAAACUUUUCCUCAGGUUCUUUCAUUUUUUUCAGAUCUGCAUCAUUUCACAUCCUUCUCUCUUCAACGGAAAUCAAAAUGCUCGGAUUUGCAUCAUUUUCCAUAUCCACUUCCAGAUCUGUUGAAUCAACAUCGCCUUAUUUUUAAUAUCUUUUUCCACUUCUUUUAUAUUUGCAGGUUAUAGAUCUACCCAGAUCGAACGAAGGCAUACCCAAAAAUUAACAUUUCCAAAAGGGGUGUUAAUUUAAAUUGAAACUGGGUGUGGUUUGAAUUUUAAACAAGGUAUGGUUUUGAGUUGAAGAAGAGUAUGUUUAUGAUUCGAAACAGAUUUUAGUUAUUGAUUAAUUUGAAACAGAUUUUAGUUAUGGAUGGGGUAUUUUUCUUGAUGUUGAAACAGGACACGGAUUGAUUUAAAAACUUAUUUUGGUUAUGUUUUUUUUCAUUUGAAACAGGUUAUUACUUAGUUCAGGGACUAACACACAUCAAACACACAAUUAAACCCAAGCAUCAUGCAAUAGAUCAAGACAUGAAUAGAGGACCAACCUAUAGGGAUGAGGAUUUUCCUGGUUUGAGCAAAGAGAUGGUUGAAGCUUAGAUUAGGGUUUAGUUGUUGUUGUUCUUCGAUGUGAAGAGCAACAACUUUAGGAUAGUAAAUUUGUAAAUUAUGGAUGAUUUUCAUUGUAAUUUUAGAUCCUAUUUAUAGAGUAAACAUUAGAUCGAGAAUUAAA